AUGGCUAUGCGUUGCAGCCUAGCAAAGCUAUUUCCUGAUAUUUUGGCUAAUUUCGUUAACCGUUGUGACAGACUCUCUGAGCUAUUUUGAAAACAUAUUCCUAAAGUGGCAGCCGUUGACAAAAACUGUCAACAAGUGGAUGCGCCGGUGAAUGCUCUCCCAGUGACAACCCAGAACGAUGAGCACGAGCGCAACGGAUCAGUCUACCUACCGUGAGGAAUGAACUGAGGUAACUCCGGGUCUUCCUUUCCUGUCGCGGUCGUCAUGAGAGCCAGUUUCGUCAUAGCGCUUGAUGGUUUUUGCAACUGCACAUGACGAUACUGUAAAGGUCUUGAAAUUGUCCGCAUUGACUGACCUUCAUGUCUUAAAGUAAUUGAUGGACUGUCGUUUCUCUUGUUUUUUGAUCUGUUC